GCACAAGCAAGAACCCUGUACACCUCUGUUCUCCUAUUCAGGUCAAACUCCUGAAUUCAAUUUGGUUUCUGCCUCUUAAGGAACGAUAACACCAGCCUCACCCGAGGGGCCGAUAACUUGAUCGCCCUCACCACCGACUCCAGAGUGAGGGGGCUGUCAUGUUCCAAAUACAACCAGUGAGGUUGCUGGAUCCCCCCCAAAAACAUGACCCGAAACAACACUGGAGAGAGCGCUUUGGCAGAUCCCGGAGCAACACUUUGGACACGUUGGAGUCUCGACGGAUGAUCAAGCCAGCCUCGGUCGUGUUUCACGCCGGGCUCCUCCGCUCCUGUGAUCCGAGUCCAUUACUUCACACACGCAGUGCACGACUGCACGGCACCGGCGCCCCUUCUCUUCCCCAUGACAUCGUCCGGGUCGGCGGCCAAGGUCCUGACAGCUGAUCAUCCCACCCUCCCCGACUCCCGACCGCCACCCCAGCGGUUUCACCCCCACCCGAGCCAACCCCGUCCUGCACCCGGAGCACCGGGUCUCGCCGGGGGCUGCGGUUACCGACGGGGGGACGGUGCCAGCGGGCGGAGGAAUCCACGGCGGGGAAAGGCUUUCUGGAGGUGGAGGCUGCCCGGCGUUGAACGAGGGCCUCGAAAGAGCUCUUAAUGGGGCCCGAUUAUUUUAGUUGCCCCAAUAAUGACAGUGAUUACAUAAAAAUGCGUGCGUUUAAGAACUUUUAUUCGUGUUCAAUUACCCGAUUUCGACGCUGACACCCUCGCUGCCACCCAAAACACUGCUUUGGGUUUGGGGCGGGGGAGAAUGAACGUUUCAGAAAGGUUAUGCGUGUGAUUUUCAUAUCGAGGGGAUUACGUUUUCUACUGUGUGUGAUGCCAAUGCCUGACUAUUCUUCCGUGAUUACGUGACCUAUUUGUUAAGACAGG
ensembl:lncRNA